CUCACUCACAAUGGACACCUGAGGCCUGUAUUACGAGGCAAGAUUUGGCGUUAACAAGGUAACUUCAGGUUCAACCCAGGGUUUUGUGUAUUGCAACGAUG